rnacentral:rRNA from 1 species
GGGGAAUAUUGCACAAUGGGCGGAAGCCUGAUGCAGCGACGCCGCGUGGGGGAUGACGGCCUUCGGGUUGUAAACCUCUUUCAGUGCAGAACAAGGCUCUUUGUGGGUUGAGGGUAUGCGCAGAAGAAGCGCCGGCUAACUACGUGCCAGCAGCCGCGGUAAUACGUAGGGCGCGAGCGUUGUCCGGAUUUAUUGGGCGUAAAGAGCUCGUAGGCGGUUUGUCGCGUCUGCUGUGAAAUCCUCUGGCUUAACUGGGGGCGUGCAGUGGGUACGGGCAGACUGGAGUGCGGUAGGGGAGACUGGAAUUCCUGGUGUAGCGGUGGAAUGCGCAGAUAUCAGGAGGAACACCGGUGGCGAAGGCGGGUCUCUGGGCCGUUACUGACGCUGAGGAGCGAAAGCAUGGGGAGCGAAC